rnacentral:rRNA from 1 species
AUGAUGCCUUGUGAUUUCUUUGCUACUACCUUGCAUUACAUGAUACCAUCAAUUAAGCUAGACUUGAAAAAUUAUUUGCUUGGACAUGAUCAUACAUACAUUGUUGGUGGCAUUUCUCUCAUUCCUGAUGAUGACACUUAUUUUCCUUAUGCUAGUCCUAUGCUUAAUGAAACAUAUUAUUCCCAUGCUAGUCUUGAGCUUAAUGAUAAAUUUCAUCCUCAUGUUAGUGUCGACCUUGCUGAUUUCUACCAUCCUAAACACGUGCUUUAUAGCUAUGCUUAUGUAAUUGGAUAUUCGAUUGAUGACUUGGAGGGUAUUAUCCCUACCACUUGCAUUGUCUCUUUUGUUGAGAGUGCUUUCAGGUUUUUGCUUGUGCACGAUCCAUUACAUGCUGACCAGGUUCGAGGUGACAUUCCUUGGGACCCUGGUGGACUCAGAGCAUGGGGAUGA